GACGAACGCUGGCGGCGUGCUUAACACAUGCAAGUCGAACGGAAAGGCCCUGCUUUUGUGGGGUGCUCGAGUGGCGAACGGGUGAGUAACACGUGAGUAACCUGCCCUUGACUUUGGGAUAACUUCAGGAAACUGGGGCUAAUACCGGAUAGGAGCUCCUGCUGCAUGGUGGGGGUUGGAAAGUUUCGGCGGUUGGGGAUGGACUCGCGGCUUAUCAGCUUGUUGGUGGGGUAGUGGCUUACCAAGGCUUUGACGGGUAGCCGGCCUGAGAGGGUGACCGGCCACAUUGGGACUGAGAUACGGCCCAGACUCCUACGGGAGGCAGCAGUGGGGAAUAUUGCACAAUGGGCGGAAGCCUGAUGCAGCAACGCCGCGUGCGGGAUGACGGCCUUCGGGUUGUAAACCGCUUUCGCCUGUGACGAAGUGUGAGUGACGGUAAUGGGUAAAGAAACACCGGCUAACUACGU
rnacentral:rRNA from 1 species